CACAUGCAGUCGAACGAUGAUGGGAGCUUGCUCCUGGAUUAGUGGCGAACGGGUGAGUAACACGUGAGUAACCUGCCCUUAACUCUGGGAUAAGCCUGGGAAACUGGGUCUAAUACCGGAUAUGACUCCUCAUCGCAUGGUGGGGGGUGGAAAGCUUUUUGUGGUUUUGGAUGGACUCGCGGCCUAUCAGCUUGUUGGUGAGGUAAUGGCUUACCAAGGCGACGACGGGUAGCCGGCCUGAGAGGGUGACCGGCCACACUGGGACUGAGACACGGCCCAGACUCCUACGGGAGGCAGCAGUGGGGAAUAUUGCACAAUGGGCGCAAGCCUGAUGCAGCGACGCCGCGUGAGGGAUGACGGCCUUCGGGUUGUAAACCUCUUUCAGUAGGGAAGAAGCGAAAGUGACGGUACCUGCAGAAGAAGCGCCGGCUAACUACGUGCCAGCAGCCGCGGUAAUACGUAGGGCGCAAGCGUUAUCCGGAAUUAUUGGGCGUAAAGAGCUCGUAGGCGGUUUGUCGCGUCUGCCGUGAAAGUCCGGGGCUCAACUCCGGAUCUGCGGUGGGUACGGGCAGACUAGAGUGAUGUAGGGGAGACUGGAAUUCCUGGUGUAGCGGUGAAAUGCGCAGAUAUCAGGAGGAACACCGAUGGCGAAGGCAGGUCUCUGGGCAUUAACUGACGCUGAGGAGCGAAAGCAUGGGGAGC
rnacentral:rRNA from 1 species